GAGAAUGUUGACAUGAGUAGCGACAAAGAGGGUGAGAGACCCUCUCGCCGAAAGUCCAAGGGUUCCUGCUUAAAGCUAAUCUGAGCAGGGUGAGCCGGCCCCUAAGGCGAGGCCGAAAGGCGUAGUCGAUGGGAACUAGGUUAAUAUUCCUAGGCCAGUGGGAAGUGACGGAUCUCAGAUGUAGUUUGCCCUUAUCGUAUUGGGUGGGCUGCUGAGAGGUUCCUGGAAAUAGCCCCACAUCAGACCGUACCCUAAACCGACACAGGUGGACUGGUAGAGUAUACCAAGGCGCUUGAGAGAACCACGUUAAAGGAACUCGGCAAAAUGCCUCCGUAAGUUCGCGAGAAGGAGGCCCCAUCAGUAGGCAACUAUUGGUGGGGGGCACAAACUAGGGGGUGGCGACUGUUUACUUAAAACACAGGGCUGUGCGAAGCCGUAAGGCGACGUAUACAGUCUGACGCCUGCCCGGUGCUGGAAGAUUAAGAGGAGGGGUGCAAGCUCUGAAUUGAAGUCCCAGUAAACGGCGGCCGUAACGAUAACGGUCCUUAGGUAGCGAAAUUCCUUGUCGGGUAAGUUCCGACCUGCACGAAUGGCGUAACGAUCUCCCCGCUGUCUCUAACGUGGACUCAGCGAAAUUGAACUGUGUGUCAAGAUGCACACUUCCCGCGGUUAGACGGAAAGACCCCAUGCACCUUUACUCUAGCUUUGCACUGGCAUCGGGAUUGUGAUGUGCAGGAUAGGUGGUAGACAUUGAAGCGGGGACGCUAGUCUUCGUGGAGUCACCCUUGAGAUACCACCCUUCGCACUCUUGAUGUCUAACCGCGGCCCGUUAUCCGGGUCCGGGACCCUGCAUGGUGGGGAGUUUGACUGGGGCGGUCGCCUCCUAAACAGUAACGGAGGCGCGCGAUGGUUGGCUCAGACCGGUCGGAAAUCGGUCGUUGAGUGCAAUGGCAGAAGCCAGCCUGACUGCAAGUCUGACAAGACGAGCAGAGACGAAAGUCGGUCAUAGUGAUCCGGUGGUCCCAAGUGGGAGGGCCAUCGCUCAACGGAUAAAAGGUACGCUGGGGAUAACAGGCUGAUGAUGCCCAAGAGUCCAUAUCGACGGCAUCGUUUGGCACCUCGAUGUCGGCUCAUCUCAUCCUGGGGCUGGAGCAGGUCCCAAGGGUAUGGCUGUUCGCCAUUUAAAGAGGUACGUGAGCUGGGUUUAGAACGUCGUGAGACGGUUCGGUCCCUAUCUGCCGUGGGUGUAGGAGACUUGAGAAGAGUUGCCCCUAGUACGAGAGGACCGGGGUGAACGAACCACUGGUGGGCCAGUUAUCGUGCCAACGGUAGUGCUGGGUAGCUAUGUUCGGACAGGAUAAACGCUGAAGGCAUCUAAGCGUGAAGCCCCCUUCAAAACAAGGUCUCCCUUGAGAGCCGUGGAAGACCACCACGUCGAUAGGCCAGAGGUGUAAGUGCAGCAAUGCAUUCAGCUGACUGGUACUAAUUGCUCUAA
rnacentral:rRNA from 1 species